rnacentral:rRNA from 1 species
GACGAACGCUGGCGGCGUGCUUAACACAUGCAAGUCGAGCGGUAAGGCCCUUUCGGGGGUACACGAGCGGCGAACGGGUGAGUAACACGUGGGUGACCUGCCCUUAGCUCUGGGAUAAGCCUGGGAAACUGGGUCUAAUACCGGAUAUGACUCCAUAACGCAUGUUGUGGGGUGGAAAGCCUUGUGCGGCUAGGGAUGGGCCCGCGGCCUAUCAGCUUGUUGGUGGGGUGAUGGGCCACCAAGGCGACGACGGGUAGCCGGCCUGAGAGGGCGACCGGCCACACUGGGACUGAGACACGGCCCAGACUCCUACGGGAGGCAGCAGUGGGGAAUCUUGCGCAAUGGGCGAAAGCCUGACGCAGCGACGCCGCGUGGGGA